rnacentral:rRNA from 1 species
CAGCAGCCACGGGAAUACGUAGGGUGCAAGCGUUAAUCGGAAUUACUGGGCGUAAAGCGUGCGCAGGCGGUUUGUUAAGACAGAUGUGAAAUCCCCGGGCUCAACCUGGGAACUGCAUUUGUGACUGGCAAGCUAGAGUGUGGCAGAGGGGGGUGGAAUUCCGCGUGUAGCAGCGAAAUGCGUAGAUAUGCGGAGGAACACCGAUGGCGAAGGCAGCCCCCUGGGCCAACACUGACGCUCAUGCGCGAAAGCGUGGGGAGCAAGCAGGAUUAGAUACCCGUGUAGUCCCUGUCUCUUAUAC